rnacentral:rRNA from 2 species
UCUAUCUGCAGUCGAGCGGACGAUCGGAGCUUGCUCCCUGAUGUUAGCGGCGGACGGGUGAGUAACACGUGGGUAACCUGCCUGUAAGACUGGGAUAACUCCGGGAAACCGGGGCUAAUACCGGAUGGUUGUUUGAACCGCAUGGUUCAAACAUAAAAGGUGGCUUCGGCUACCACUUACAGAUGGACCCGCGGCGCAUUAGCUAGUUGGUGAAGUAACGGCUCACCAAGGCAACGAUGCGUAGCCGACCUGAGAGGGUGAUCGGCCACACUGGGACUGAGACACGGCCCAGACUCCUACGGGAGGCAGCAGUAGGGAAUCUUCCGCAAUGGACGAAAGUCUGACGGAGCAACGCCGCGUGAGUGAUGAAGGUUUUCGGAUCGUAAAGCUCUGUUGUUAGGGAAGAACAAGUACCGUUCGAAUAGGGCGGUACCUUGACGGUACCUAACCAGAAAGCCACGGCUAACUACGUGCCAGCCGCCGGUAGUAUAGGUGGCAAGCGUUGUACGGAAUUAUUGGGCGGUAAAGGGCUCGCACGCGGUUUCUUAAGUCUGAUGAGAAAGCCCCCGGCUCAACCGGGGAGGGUCAUUGGAAACUGGGGAACUUGAGUGCAGAAGAGGAGAGUGGAAUCCCACGUGUAGCGGUGAAAUGCGUAUAGAUGUGGAGGAACACCAGUGGCAUAGGCGACUCUCUGGUCUGUAACUGACGCUGAGGAGCGAAAGCGUGGGGAGCGAACAGGAUUAGAUACCCUGGUAGUCCACGCCGUAAACGAUGAGUGCUAAGUGUUAGGGGGUUUCCGCCCCUUAGUGCUGCAGCUAACGCAUUAAGCACUCCGCCUGGGGAGUACGGUCGCAAGACUGAAACUCAAAGGAAUUGACGGGGGCCCGCACAAGCGGUGGAGCAUGUGGUUUAAUUCGAAGCAACGCGAAGAACCUUACCAGGUCUUGACAUCCUCUGACAAUCCUAGAGAUAGGACGUCCCCUUCGGGGGCAGAGUGACAGGUGGUGCAUGGUUGUCGUCAGCUCGUGUCGUGAGAUGUUGGGUUAAGUCCCGCAACGAGC